rnacentral:tRNA from 3 species
GCGCCCGUAGCUCAGUUGGAUAGAGCAACGGACUUCUAAUCCGUAGGUCGCAGGUUCGAAUCCUGCCGGGCGUGCCA